rnacentral:lncRNA from 1 species
AGAAAUGCCCUUCAAAUCAGCUCGGUCAGAGCAGAGAAAUACCCGUCAGAGAUGAGAAAUGCCCUUCAAAUCAGCUCUGUCAGAGCAGAGAAAUGCCCGUCAAAGCAGAGAUAUACCCUUCAAAUCAGCUCGAUCAGAGCAGAGAAAUGCCCGUCAUAGAUGAGAAAUACCCGUCACAUAUUCAUCAGAAAUCCCAAUCCAGCUCGAAUUUUCGAAAAAUAUUGAUUCGCGUAUAGCGACGCAGAUAAAGGAAUAUAGUAUGACGAAGGUUGAGUAGUUUGCCAUAAUCCAUGAUCCUUAAAGCGAAAGAAUAAUUUUGAAUAUUCUUGUUCAAACAUAAAGCUAAUCAUGGUAACAAUCCCAUGUUCGAAGCAAAAGUUGGACCAUUAUCCCAAUUUAUCACAAUUUCAUCCACAUGAUCCAACACAUAAAUGUAGCAUCAUAAUCGAUGCACAAACUCAUCCCAAGGUGAAAAAUCAAUUGACAAAGUAUCCCAUCAGAAUACAUCAUCCCAAUAACGUCGGCUCACAUACAAAGUGAUGAAUAAAAUUAAAUAACGAGAGUUCACAGGCUUCAAUCAUGAUAGGCUUUCCAAGAAUAAUAUCCACUGCUCCGCCCAUUUUCCUUCCCUAACCUCAUUCAUAUCUCCGUAUGAAUUUAAUCAACGAUAGUUCAAAUCAAAUAUCCCACAUCAAGCAAUGGCAGAGAAAGUUAAAAUCACAAGUGCGGUUCUACAACGGG